UACAGAGGGUGCGAGCGUUAAUCGGAAUUACUGGGCGUAAAGCGUGCGUAGACGGUUAUUUAAGUCGGAUGUGAAAGCCCCCGGCUCAACUGGGGAGGGUCACGCGAUACUGAUCGACUCGAAGGCAGGAGAGGGUAGUGGAAUUCCCGGUGUAGUGGUGAAAUGCGUAGAUAUCGGGAGGAACACCGGUGGCGAAGGCGGCCCCCUGGUUGGAUACUGACGCUGAGACGCGAAAGCGUGGGGAGCAAACAGG
rnacentral:rRNA from 1 species